CGUAGGGUGCAGGCGUUAAUCGGAAUUACUGGGCGUAAAGCGUGCGCAGGCGGUUUGCUAAGACAGGUGUGAAAUCCCCGGGCUUAACCUGGGAACUGCGCUUGUUACUGGCAAGCUGGAGUGUGGCAGAGGGGGGUGGAAUUCCACGUGUAGCAGUGAAAUGCGUAGAGAUGUGGAGGAACACCGAUGGCGAAGGCAGCCCCCUGGGCUAACACUGACGCUCAUGCACGAAAGCGUGGGGAGCAAACAGGAUUAGAUACCCUGGUAGUCCACGCCCUAAACUAUGUCAACUGGUUGUCGGGGAAGCAAUUCCUUGGUACGAAGCUAACGCGUGAAGUUGACCGCCUGGGGAGUACGGCCGCAAGGUUA
rnacentral:rRNA from 1 species